UCCUGGUUCUUAGACUUUCAGAUCUGGGCUGGAAUAUCCACCACUGGUUCCUCUGGUUCUAAGGCCCAUAGACUCAGCCUGAAUUACACCACCAGCUUUCGUGGGUCUUCGGCUUGCAGAUGGCAGAUCAUGGGACUUCUCAGCCUCCAAAAUUAUGAUUAUACUCACAGAAAAAGUAAUCUUUGCAGACAGAGAAGAGACCUUUAUUGGCAUGUGGUGCAGAGUGAGAUGGUCUGCUAACUCGGGGGACACAGCAGUGAAUAUGGUAUUGACUUUGCCCUUUAGGAGCUUAUAAAGAUCAUGACCACAAAGAAGAAACGUAUAUAAACAAGUACCUCUGCAUUAUGCACAGCCUGCACUAUUUUCCCUAGAGACAAGGUCUAAGAUGUAGACAGAAGAUGGCAAGUGAAGUUGAGAAUACAGAUCACUGCAGACGGCCUGUGGAGGUAUCUG